AGAGUUUGAUCCUGGCUCAGAUUGAACGCUGGCGGAAUGCUUUACACAUGCAAGUCGAACGGCAGCACGGGAGCUUGCUCCUGGUGGCGAGUGGCGAACGGGUGAGUAAUGCGUCGGAACGUACCGAGUAAUGGGGGAUAACGCGGCGAAAGUCGCGCUAAUACCGCAUACGCCCUGAGGGGGAAAGCGGGGGAUCGCAAGACCUCGCGUUAUUCGAGCGGCCGACGUCUGAUUAGCUAGUUGGUGGGGUAAAGGCUCACCAAGGCGACGAUCAGUAGCGGGUCUGAGAGGAUGAUCCGCCACACUGGGACUGAGACACGGCCCAGACUCCUACGGGAGGCAGCAGUGGGGAAUUUUGGACAAUGGGGGCAACCCUGAUCCAGCCAUUCCGCGUGAGUGAAGAAGGCCUUCGGGUUGUAAAGCUCUUUCAGCUGGAGCGAAACGGUACGCUCUAACAUAGCGUGCUAAUGACGGUACCAGCAGAAGAAGCACCGGCUAACUACGUGCCAGCAGCCGCGGUAAUACGUAGGGUGCGAGCGUUAAUCGGAAUUACUGGGCGUAAAGCGUGCGCAGGCGGAUUGUUAAGCAAGACGUGAAAUCCCCGGGCUUAACCUGGGAAUGGCGUUUUGAACUGGCAGUCUAGAGUGCGUCAGAGGGGGGUGGAAUUCCACGUGUAGCAGUGAAAUGCGUAGAGAUGUG
rnacentral:rRNA from 1 species